UGGGGAAUUUUUGGACAAUGGGCGAAAGCCUGAUCCAGCAAUGCCGCGUGUGUGAAGAAGGCCUUCGGGUUGUAAAGCACUUUUGUCCGGAAAGAAAUCCUUGGCUCUAAUACAGUCGGGGGAUGACGGUACCGGAAGAAUAAGCACCGGCUAACUACGUGCCAGCAGCCGCGGUAAUACGUAGGGUGCAAGCGUUAAUCGGAAUUACUGGGCGUAAAGCGUGCGCAGGCGGUUUGCUAAGACCGAUGUGAAAUCCCCGGGCUCAACCUGGGAACUGCAUUGGUGACUGGCAGGCUAGAGUAUGGCAGAGGGGGGUAGAAUUCCACGUGUAGCAGUGAAAUGCGUAGAGAUGUGGAGGAAUACCGAUGGCGAAGGCAGCCCCCUGGGCCAAUACUGACGCUCAUGCACGAAAGCGUGGGGGAGCAAACAGGAUUAGAUACCCUGGUAGUCCACGCCCUAAACGAUGUCAACUAGUUGUUGGGGAUUCAUUUCCUUAGUAACGUAGCUAACGCGUGAAGUUGACCGCCUGGGGAGUACGGUCGCAAAGAUUAAAACUUAAAGGAAUUGACGGGGUCAUA
rnacentral:rRNA from 1 species